rnacentral:rRNA from 1 species
AAACGUCCCAGUUCGGACUGUAGUCUGCAACCCGACUACACGAAGCUGGAAUCGCUAGUAAUCGCGAAUCAGAAUGUCGCGGUGAAUACGUUCCCGGGUCUUGUACACACCGCCCGUCACACCAUGGGAGUCGGGAAUGCCCGAAGUCAGUGACCCAACCUAUAGGAGGGAGCUGCCGAAGGCAGGUCUGAUAACUGGGGUGAAGUCGUAACAAGGUACC